ACUCGCCGCUUUUUACCCGGUGGGUCUUCUAGAAACACCAGUCUAGAGGAGGAAAGGUCAGCCAGCGCAGAAAGUCCUAUUGUCAGGAUUUGACCAUAGGUUGACUCCUCCCAAGUUUGGGGUGACCUCCACAUCUUUGUGCGCUGCAAUGCAUUUAUCACAGUUCUCUGCCUGGUGUCCCGACCCCGAAUAAGAGGUGUUUCAGCCACGUGAUCAGAACUGCCACCAUCCCUCACCUGAGGGACCACAAACGCCUCUUAAACUGUUGUUCUGCAUUCAUUCCAGUCUCCAACUGAUUCACCACAGUGAGUUUUUAAAAAUUCAGAUCAAUUCCUCACUCCUGAGCUUAAAACAGUCCAAUGCCUUCCUCGGGAAAAUCCUCAGCCAUGCAUGGUUAGCUUCUGCAGCUAAGGUCACUGUUAAGGCUGCCUCACCUGCCCUGACUCCACUCACCGGGGACUUGGGGAAUUACUGCAAUUUAUACUGAGCAAAAAGUGCUGACUCUGUUACUGUAAAGGUUGUGGGGCAGAACAAAGGUUCUCCAACAUGACUUCUGGAAGGAGAUAGAAGAGCUAACAGAGAAGACAAGAGAAUCAAGCAGAGAGAGCCAUGGCUUAGCUGCCUGCCACGGAUCAUGCUGCAGAUGAACUCAGAUAAUACAGGCCUGGCAUAUAUGGUGGUGGGCAAGGCCUUUGCCUGGACCCUGUGGCAGGAGUUUGCAGCCAGCCUGGCCAAAGCUGAUGACCAGGGAUGUGGUGGACACCAGUCUGCAGCUGCUUCUAACUUCUCUGGCCUCAGCCUCCGCACAGCAGAUCCUCAAUGUCUCCAAGCUGAGCCCCGAGGAAAUCCAGAGGCUUCCCCUGCCUCUGUAACUCAGAGACUCUCACCAUCUCCCCUUCCCUGCAGAAUUAUGAACACCUAUUUAAAGUGAACAAUAAAUCUGUGGAUGGCUCUUUCUACCUGCAAUCAAAGGUGGUCCAAUUGAAAGAGUGCAUUGAGGAGGAACUCUGAAUCCAGGUCCAGGAAGACAAAGGAAAAGAGCAGAGGCCCCAGAAGUGAUCAGUUUGGCUCCUCCCAUUCCUCCCACCACCUCUAAUUUAUAGUUUGGUAAUAAAUGUCUUUCCCAUGUUAAAAUAAAAGUUAUCACAGAGAAGGACCACCCAACCCAGCCUGAGGAACUCAAGAGGCUACAAGCAUCAGUCAAGUCACAGGAGCCAGGGAGUAAGUGGCAUGUUCAGGAAGUAAUAAGUAUGUGUACUGUGUAGCUAGGGGAAAGAUUAACCUUAUGUAAAAGCUUUUGUCUAAAAGAAAUAUUGUGUUUUUGAGGUAUUUAGGCAGGUUUUUAUUUUAGAAGAAUCAGUCUAGGUCAGGGUUUCUCAACCUCAGCACAAUUGACGUUUUGGGCAGGAAAAUUCUUUGUUGUGGGGCUGUGUUGUGCAUUGUAGGAUGUUUAGUAGCAUAACAUCUCUGUCCUCUAACUACUAGACACCAGCAGCAAUCCAUCUCACUCCUCCUUACCCUCCACAAACCUCCACCCCACUCCUGGCCCAGUUACAACAACCAAAAAGUCUUCAGACAUUGCCAAAUGUCUCCUGGGGAACAAAAAUUCACCCCAUUGAGAAACACUAACCUAGGGAAGAUGUGGAAAAUGGAUCGGAAGGUAGGAGAUUAAUCGCAUAGCACUGAAGAGCUGCAGGCUGCAAGUAAUGAGAAUAUAUCUAAAGUAGUGGACUAGGGAGGGAGGAAUGCCAGGAAGAUGUCGAAAGCCUGAGGAGACAGAAUAGACGGUGUGUGGUGACUGAUGAAAUGUGGGUGCUGCAGCAGAGGAAGGAAUCUCAUGUAGCUCGCAAAUUGUGUGAAUUAGUUGACAAGUUGACCAAGGACACUACCAAAUAAAUUAAAUAAGGAAUUCAAUUUAAUAUUUAAGAAUAGAAAAAAGAUUUAACAUCACUCUAUAGGGAAUAUAUAGGAAAGAGAAAGAGAACAGUGUGAAAAGUAUUUCCUUCCAACAUGUUAAUAUGUGGCAUGAAACUUGCAGUUCUGUUACAAAUAUCCAUCUGAACUGAAGUAAACCAAACGUAAUGAAAUAGAAGCUUCUUAUUAGGAAAUUCUCUUUUUAAAAAUUUCAAUCCAACCAACAAUUAUACACACAUGAGCUUCAGACAUAAAUCUUCAUCAAAAGAACAUUUCCUCACCAGUCUAUUUCUCUGCAAAAGCUAGCCGAGAUCACAGUGGGAAAAUAGAUUCAAACAAUGAGGUUUGCCUUUAAACGGUUCAAUUGAACAAAACAACUAAAAUACCAUGGAAAAAACAUGAAAUUCAAUUAAGAGCUGGAGACUAGAGAGAUAAAGUCACCUGUAAUCUUACAAGCCUAAUAUAAACAGCUUACCAUGUUAUAUAUUUUCUUUCACUUAUUUUUUCACUAGAUGCAUUUUAAUAUAAGUAUUAUCAUGGUGUAUAUGUUAUUUUGUAACUUGUUCCUUAUACUUAUUUUAAUUUUUUUUCAGGUUUUUUUUGUUGGUGGUGGUGUUUAAGAUUUUAUUUAUUUAUUUUUAGAGAGGGAAAGGAGGGAGGAA